GAUGAACGCUGGCGGCGUGCUUAACACAUGCAAGUCGAACGGAAAGGCCGAAGCUUGCUUCGGUAAUCGAGUGGCGAACGGGUGAGUAACACGUGGGUGAUCUGCCCUGUACUUUGGGAUAAGCUUGGGAAACUGGGUCUAAUAUCGUAUAUGACGCUCCCUUGGAUGGGGUUGUGGAAAGCUUUUGCGGUGUGGGAUGAGCUUGCGGCGUAUAAGCUUGUUGGUGGGGUCAUGGCCUACCAAGGCCUCGACGGGUAGCCGGCCUGAGAGGGUGUACGGCCGCAUUGGGACUGAGAUGCGGCCCAGAGUCCGAAGGGAGGCAGCAGGGGGGAAUGUUGGACAAUGGGCGAAAGCCUGAGGCAGCGACGCCGCGUGGGGGAUGACGGCCUUCGGGUUGUAAGCUCCUUUCGCAAUCGACGAAGCCUUGUGGUGACGGUAGGUUGAGAAGAAGCACCGGCUAACUACGUG
rnacentral:rRNA from 1 species